UACGGGAGGCAGCAGUGGGGAAUAUUGCACAAUGGGCGCAAGCCUGAUGCAGCCAUGCCGCGUGUAUGAAAAAGGCCUUCGGGUUGUAAAGUACUUUCAGUCGUGAGGAAGGUGUUAAGGUUAAUAACCUUAGCAAUUGACGUUAGCGACAGAAGAAGCACCGGCUAACUCCGUGCCAGCAGCCGCGGUAAUACGGAGGGUGCGAGCGUUAAUCGGAAUUACUGGGCGUAAAGGGCACGCAGGCGGUUAAUUAAGUUGGAUGUGAAAUCCCCGGGCUUAACCUGGGAAUGGCAUUCAAGACUGGUUAGCUAGAGUCUUGUAGAGGGGGUAGAAUUCCAUGUGUAGCGGUGAAAUGCGUAGAGAUGUGGAGGAAUACCGGUGGCGAAGGCGGCCCCCUGGACAAAGGACUGACGCUCAUGUGCGAAAGCGUGGGGAGCAAACG
rnacentral:rRNA from 1 species